AAGCAUAUCAAUAAGCGGAGGAAAAGAAACCAACAGGGAUUGCCUUAGUAGCGGCGAGUGAAGCGGCAAAAGCUCAAAUUUGAAAUCUGGCUCUUUCAGAGUCCGAGUUGUAAUUUGAAGAAGGUAUCUUUGGGUCUGGCUCUUGUCUAUGUUUCUUGGAACAGAACGUCACAGAGGGUGAGAAUCCCGUGCGAUGAGAUGAUCCAGGCCUAUGUAAAGUUCCUUCGAAGAGUCGAGUUGUUUGGGAAUGCAGCUCUAAGUGGGUGGUAAAUUCCAUCUAAAGCUAAAUAUUGGCGAGAGACCGAUAGCGAACAAGUACAGUGAUGGAAAGAUGAAAAGAACUUUGAAAAGAGAGUGAAAAAGUACGUGAAAUUGUUGAAAGGGAAGGGCUUGAGAUCAGACUUGGUAUUUUGUAUGUUACUUCUUCGGGGGUGGCCUCUACAGUUUAUCGGGCCAGCAUCAGUUUGGGCGGUAGGAGAAUUGCGUUGGAAUGUGGCACGGCUUCGGUUGUGUGUUAUAGCCUUCGUCGAUACUGCCAGCCUAGACUGAGGACUGCGGUUUAUACCUAGGAUGUUGGCAUAAUGAUCUUAAGUCGCCCGUCUUGAAACACGGACCAAGGAGUCUAACGUCUAUGCGAGUG
rnacentral:rRNA from 1 species